GAUGAACGCUGGCGGCGUGCCUAAUACAUGCAAGUAGAACGCUGAAGGAGGAGCUUGCUUUUCUGGAUGAGUUGCGAACGGGUGAGUAACGCGUAGGUAACCUGCCUGGUAGCGGGGGAUAACUAUUGGAAACGAUAGCUAAUACCGCAUGACAACAGUUAUUGCAUGAUAACUGUUUAAAAGGGGCAAUUGCUUCCACUACCAGAUGGACCUGCGUUGUAUUAGCUAGUUGGUGAGGUAACGGCUCACCAAGGCGACGAUACAUAGCCGACCUGAGAGGGUGAUCGGCCACACUGGGACUGAGACACGGCCCAGACUCCUACGGGAGGCAGCAGUAGGGAAUCUUCGGCAAUGGACGGAAGUCUGACCGAGCAACGCCGCGUGAGUGAAGAAGGUUUUCGGAUCGUAAAGCUCUGUUGUAAGAGAAGAACGAGUGUGAGAGUGGAAAGUUCACACUGUGACGGUAUCUACCA
rnacentral:rRNA from 1 species